AUCUCCCUGCCGAAAUUUUUUAAGAGAACUUAAAUUUCCCUCUCUUUACUUAAUAUACUUGAACCCAUCCUCAUUCCCUCGCAUAAGCGCUGCCCUCUUUUCCCUCAAUAUUCCACCCUAAUUAGUGGCUCUUCAUUUGGAAUUAUUUUUGCAUAUUGCUCCGAUCAAAUCUCCCACUCCAAGAGAGAGAAGCUACCGCAGCCAGCCUACAACCAUGUGUGGAACACUCGUUUCACUGCUUUUUCUGUCACCGCUCCAAUGAAGCCCCAUCAUUUCUAUCACUGUUUUAGAAGCUUGUAUUUUAAUUGCCUUUUCCACUACAGGAACGCAUCAAGCAAAACUUAGUUAUCUCUAACAAUAAAGUCUGCCCGUUGGAAACUCAAGCUUGCCUCUACAAAUGGAAGAUGUUGGCUGCCACGUAUCAUAGUUUCUUCUAGGAUCCAAAGCCCAACAAGUUGGUAGCAUCAGUAGAUCUACUGACCCUGCUAUAUAUGAAACUUGUUGGUACUGACCCUGCUAUGAAAUCUUUUUAGAGUGAAGCUGCAAAAGUGGAACAAAAGGGUGAAUUCCAAAGAAUGCAAAAAAAUAAAACAGAGAGAACAAAGAUAAGAAAGAACAUUUCAAAGAAUGUAGAGACAAAAGGGUUAGAAAUUUGUGUCACCUAAAGUCUCUUUAGGAAAUCCAUUUUUUAGCAUGCCUUAAGUGAAUCCAAGAGAGCAAGCAUCCUAAGUAAAAUUUAGUUACCUUAGUUUGUGAUCCAAUUCAGUCCACGUUUUUACAUUAAAAUAUUUCAAUAAUUAUGGUCAAGUUUUUCGAUAUAUGAAAUCUUUCUUUAGGGAUAUGAAGAAAACCACCCUAGUGUCCGUUUAUAAUCUUGCAGUGCUCUCUUUGGGAUAUUUUCGCCUUCAAAGUUGGAAAAAUUAACACCUGAUGUACGACCAAAUAAAUCAAUGAAGAGGUACAUAAUGGGCUAUCUAGGACUUCUCAUCAGAAUGUUAAACACAUACAAAGAGGGUGGGGGGGUGAAGAAAGAACACUAAAGCCAGAAAUAAUUGUUCAAUUGAGAAGAAACACCUAGAUGAUGGCAUCUGCUCAGGGAUGUUAGUUUUUGUUAUCCUUAAGUAUUGCAACUCACAUGAAGUCAACUUAUUUGCAUAAAUUCCUUGGUAAGUUAUUUUUAUUUUUCCACUAAUUUUAUGCUUAAUCCUUGAAACAAUUUACAUUUUGGAUAUGAUUAGAUGGAAAUCCAUACGGCCUUCUAGUGCACAUAUUAACAAGGCCCUACUGGGUUUUAUAAUGUCUGAGAUAGGAUUUACAUCAUCUAUGUUUCUUGAUAAUCUUUCUUGAUAAUCUCCCUUGGAGGUAUUACAAUUGAGAACUAAUAUGAUCUUUCUAGAUUUUUAAUCUCUAUGUUUUCUUAAAUAUAUAAAAAGUUGCUCUGAUUCUAUGUACUUAACCUGAUUUACAUUUUUUAGAUGUUGUUAUGCAAUGAAAAAUGUAUUGAAAGAUUGAAGUGCCCAAGGUAUGCUCUGUUGUUUGGGAUUUACAGUAGGAUAUAUACAAAUGCAGAUCAUUUUAAUCUUCCCCAUUGUUUGAAUCUGGACUUUUCUGCUUUCAGCUACUAGAUUAGAAGCUCUCAACCAGCUUAAAGAUUGCAUGAUAUUGAAUAUGACCCAAAGAAACAUUUUGCAAAGAAUCUUAAAAUAAUUAUUUUUGUAGUUGAUUAAUUUUACUUAGAGAUUUUGUCUGUUUAAACAUGAUUUCAUGAGUAUUGGUUUUGUUUUUGGUUAGUUAGACUAAUAAGAUUGAUUGGAAUUACCUGUAUGAAUCAAGUAAAUAGUACUUUUACAAAUGAGAUUCAAGCUUUCUUAGAUUUAUGAGGCAUGGUUCACUCACAUGAGAGGUUUGCACAAUGUGGUUUUUAAAUGCUACCUUGUGCUGUAUGACAUUUACAGGUUUUGAGUGUUAUAACCUUGACUACAUUCUAAGAAAAUGUACCAUCCAUUUAUACAUAUAACCUGCUAUGUUUUAUUCCUUUAACAUAUAUUACUCUCUCUAUUAAUUUAGUAUAACUUUUUUGAUCUUUUCCAGGCUCAAUGAUUGCAUAACAAUUUCAAAAACUAUUGGAUAAAUGUGAAGAAGAACUACCCAUGAAAGAAAUGGUUCUAAAGCUAAUGACAAACACAAUGUGAAGAACUUUCAUGUGCUUUGAUUUGUAAUUUUUUUUAUUAUAUGAAUAAUGACACAUUAUAUCAUAUUUAUUAUUAAUUGAUAUAUCAUAUAUUUUUUUAA